rnacentral:rRNA from 1 species
UACGAAGGGGGCUAGCGUUGCUCGGAAUCACUGGGCGUAAAGCGCACGUAGGCGGAUUGUUAAGUCAGGGGUGAAAUCCUGGAGCUCAACUCCAGAACUGCCUUUGAUACUGGCGAUCUCGAGUCCGGGAGAGGUGAGUGGAACUGCGAGUGUAGAGGUGAAAUUCGUAGAUAUUCGCAAGAACACCAGUGGCGAAGGCGGCUCACUGGCCCGGUACUGACGCUGAGGUGCGAAAGCGUGGGAGCAAC